rnacentral:lncRNA from 1 species
GCGCCAAAGUUGAAUUAAUAUACAACCUUUUUUAUAUAAAAAACUAUUGAAAAUGUGUUUCAAAGUUAAAUAAGUAAAUCAUUUUUAUCUCUUAUUUUGUUGUGAUCCAAAUUUUUAUCUCUUAGUUUAAGUCAAAUCAUCUUAAUUUUAUCUCUGAGUUUGGUAGUUUAGCCUUAUCUCUUGUAUAGUUGAAAAGUUUAAGGGACCAAAAUAGCUUAUGUUAAGGCUAUAUA